rnacentral:rRNA from 1 species
UACAUGGGGUGCAAACGUUGCUCGGAAUUAUUGGACGUAAAGCGCACAUAGGCAGUUACUUAAGUCGGAUGUGAAAGCCCUCGGCUUAACUGGGGAAGUGCACCCGAAACUGAGUAGCUAGAGUACGAAAGAGGGUCGCGGAAUUCCCGGUGUAGAGGUGAAAUUCGUAGAUAUCGGGAGGAACACCGGUGGCGAAGGCGGCGACCUGGGUCGAGACUGACGCUGAGGCGCGAAAACAUAGGGAACAAACAGG